CCUUUAGGAGGUAGGGCCUAGUGUAAGGAGAUCAAUACAAAGUCACAUCCUUGAAGGCUAUAUUGGGACCCCAGGCCUCCUCUUCUCUCUUUGCUUCCUGACCAUCAUGAGUGGCAGUGUUCAUCUUGAGAUCACCAGUCAAAAUCAGAACAAGUAGCGAACACAGUUGAGGGAAUAGAAGAGAAAAGGAGGCAGAAGUCAUGUCCUUCAAUGGGUUUCCAGUUAUGUGGGCCCUUGGAAGACCCUACUGUUUACACUACUAGCGGCUGGUUUGUGUUCUGCCGUCAAAACAUCACACCUCCUAAAAUUCCUCCCAGAGAGUUGAAUAAAAAGUGUAUAUGGUCA